UCGGAAAUCGCUCGCUACUCUGGUUUUACGCACAAUUAUAGCUUCGCCAUGUUAUGCCGCGUGAAGCUCUACGCUCAUGGGAAUCUGAAAUCCUGUUACGUUGGUUUCGUGUCGAGUUUAGGUAUGUAGUUUAAUGUGGUUCGGAAAAAGUGCGGCCCAAGGCCUGGGCGCUACUACGCUGCACUGCAGUUUGGUGAAUACGUGGGAACAGCCAUCGUCGUUCUACCGUUGAAGCCGACGGACAUGGUUCCGACGAAAUAUCAAUCGCGGGAAAAAUCGAACAGGUCAAGUUGCGAAUUCAAAAUAUGUUACCUGGAGUGCUGCGACUGUAGCGGGAACUUCGCCUGAGAAAUCUUGGUGUCCGAAGUCCAGUUUCAUCUUCACUGGAGUCGACGUGAGACAUUUCUUAGGCUGCAAGAG